rnacentral:lncRNA from 1 species
UGUUUGGGGGGAGCACUUAACUUCUCAGUGUGUUGCCAUCCUGACCUGGGGGCUGACAUAGCUAACCUGUGGAAAGCAUGCCUCCUGAUCAGUAUUGGACUUCAUGUGAGUGGAAGAGAAACCUUCACUUUAAACCCCAGGAAUUUCAGAGGUUUGUCAGCUGGAGAAGCUAGUGGGAGUUAUCCUGAAACACACUCCAAUAAGGAUGCUGUUUUCCAAAAAGCAUGCUGAUUGUCAGUCUAAACUUCACUGCGGAUGGCUUUAUAAUAAGGAGCUAGACAGUCAAGGGGCAGGGAACAGGAUGGAUGGAGGUGAGAUGGGUGUGCAAUUGAGUCAGUUGCUGGGAGUGAGGCCUGAUUUGCUUUCCCAUGGUGUCCUCUGCACAGUGGUCCCAGGUGUUCCUACUUGUGCAUCAAACCUACGGUCAGAGGUUUUAAAGACUUGUUUCAAGCUGAGUUUCCCCUCCAUUUGCUCCUGAGCUAGAUAAGUUGAUAAUUGUCUUUUUGAAGUUCUUUUGUACAGCCCAGAUCUUAACCUAUUUUAUUUCUUAGUUUUGUUUCAUACCACUUUUGGCAACUUUUUGAUGGCCUGCAUUUUCAUUUCUUACUAUCAUGGCAUUAUUUACAUUCUGGACUCACAUUUGCUUUCAGAAAUAGUAGUUCUCAAACUGGGUUGUAUGUUAGAAUCACUUGAAUCCCACUCUUAGAGAUUCAGAUUUAAUUAUCUG